rnacentral:rRNA from 1 species
GACGAACGCUGGCGGCGUGCUUAACACAUGCAAGUCGAACGAAGUGGCGAACGGGUGAGUAACGCGUAAUCAACCUGCCCUUCAGAGGGGGACAACAGUUGGAAACGACUGCUAAUACCGCAUACUGAAGGAGGGGAUUGCGUCUGAUUCGCUAGUUGGGGGGGUAACGGGCCACCAAGGCGAUGAUCAGUAGCCGGUCUGGGAGGAUGAACGGCCACAUUGGGACUGGGACACGGCCCAGACUCCUACGGGAGGCAGCAGUGGGGAAUCUUCCGCAAUGGACGAAAGUCUGACGGAGCAACGCCGCGGGAGUGAAGAAGGGUUUCGGGUUGUAAAGCUCUGUUAAUCAGGAAGCGGUACCUGAAUAGAAAGCCACGGCUAACUACGUGCCAGCAGCCGCGGUAAUUC